UACGAAGGGGGCUAGCGUUGUUCGGAAUCACUGGGCGUAAAGGGCGCGUAGGCGGCUAUUCAAGUCGGGGGUGAAAGCCUGUGGCUCAACCACAGAAUUGCCUUCGAUACUGUUUGGCUUGAGACCGGAAGAGGACAGCGGAACUGCGAGUGUAGAGGUGAAAUUCGUAGAUAUUCGCAAGAACACCAGUGGCGAAGGCGGCUCUCUGGGACGGUACUGACGCUGAGACGCGAAAGCGUGGGGAGCGAACAGG
rnacentral:rRNA from 1 species